AUUGAACGCUGGCGGCAGGCCUAGCACAUGCAAGUCGAGCGGAUGAAGGGAGCUUGCUCCUGGAUUCAGCGGCGGACGGGUGAGUAAUGCCUAGGAAUCUGCCUGGUAGUGGGGGAUAACGUCCGGAAACGGGCGCUAAUACCGCAUACGUCCUGAGGGAGAAAGUGGGGGAUCUUCGGACCUCACGCUAUCAGAUGAGCCUAGGUCGGAUUAGCUAGUUGGUGGGGUAAAGGCCUACCAAGGCGACGAUCCGUAACUGGUCUGAGAGGAUGAUCAGUCACACUGGAACUGAGACACGGUCCAGACUCCUACGGGAGGCAGCAGUGGGGAAUAUUGGACAAAGGGCGAAAGCCUGAUCCAGCCAUGCCGCGUGUGUGAAGAAGGUCUUCGGAUUGUAAAGCACUUUAAGUUGGGAGGAAGGGCAGUAAGUUAAUACCUUGCUGUUUUGACGUUACCAACAGAAUAAGCACCGGCUAACUUCGUG
rnacentral:rRNA from 1 species